rnacentral:rRNA from 1 species
GAGUUACUGGGCGUAAAGGGCGCGCAGGCGGUUGGUUACGUCGUGUGUGAAAGCCCUCGGCUCAACCGAGGAAGUGCAUCCGAAACUGCGGUUCUUGAGUGUCGGAGAGGGUGACGGAAUUCCCGGUGUAGAGGUGAAAUUCGUAGAUAUCGGGAGGAACACCAGUGGCGAAGGCGGUCACCUGGACGAACACUGACGCUGAGACUCGAAAGCGUGGGUAGCAAA